rnacentral:rRNA from 1 species
AGUCGAGGGGUAACAGGGAAAAGCUUGCUUUUCCGCUGACGACCGGCGCACGGGUGCGUAACACGUAUGCAACCUACCUCUUACUGAAGGAUAGCCCAGAGAAAUUUGGAUUAAUACUUCAUAACACCACAAGAUCGCAUGAUCUCACGGUUAAAGGUUACGGUAAGAGAUGGGCAUGCGUCCUAUUAGUUUGUUGGUGAGGUAAUGGCUCACCAAGACUACGAUAGGUAGGGGGUCUGAGAGGAUUAUCCCCCACACUGGUACUGAGACACGGACCAGACUCCUACGGGAGGCAGCAGUGAGGAAUAUUGCGCAAUGGACGAAAGUCUGACGCAGCCAUGCCGCGUGAAGGAUGACGGCGCUACGCGUUGUAAACUUCUUUUAUAUACCAAGAAACCUUCGGACGUGUCCGAAGCUGACGGUAGUAUAUGAAUAAGCACCGGCUAACUCCGUGCCAGCAGCCGCGGUAAUACGGAGGGUGCAAGCGUUAUCCGGAUUUAUUGGGUUUAAAGGGUCCGUAGGCGGAUCAUUAAGUCAGUGGUGAAAGCCGACAGCUCAACUGUCGAACUGCCAUUGAUACUGGUGAUCUUGGGUACGGUUGAAGUAGGCGGAAUAUGACAUGUAGCGGUGAAAUGCUUAGAUAUGUCAUAGAACACCGAUUGCGAAGGCAGCCUACUAAGCCGUUACUGACGCUGAGGGACGAAAGUGUGGGGAGCGAACAGGAUUAGAUACCCUGGUAGUCCACACCGUAAACGAUGAUUACUCGGUAUUGGCUUUAUUGUCAGUGCCCAAGCGAAAGUGAUA